UGACCUCAAAUCAGGUAGGACUACCCGCUGAACUUAAGCAUAUCAAUAAGCGGAGGAAAAGAAACUAACAAGGAUUCCCCUAGUAACUGCGAGUGAAGAGGGAAAAGCUCAAAUUUAAAAUCUGGCAGUCUUUGCAUUGUCCGAGUUGUAAUUUAGAGAAGUGCUACCCGUGUUGGCCCGUGUACAAGUUUCCUGGAAUGGAACGUCAUAGAGGGUGAGAAUCCCGUCUUUGACACGGACUACCAAUACUUUUGUGGUGUGCUCUCAAAGAGUCGAGUUGUUUGGGAAUGCAGCUCUAAAUGGGUGGUAAAUUCCAUCUAAAGCUAAAUAUUGGGGAGAGACCGAUAGCGAACAAGUACCGUGAGGGAAAGAUGAAAAGAACUUUGGAAAGAGAGUUAAAUAGUACGUGAAAUUGCUGAAAGGGAAACGCUUGAAGUCAGUCGCGUUGGUUGGGGAUCAGCCUGCCUUUUGGUUGGUGUACUUCCUAAUUGACGGGUCAGCAUCAGUUUUGACCAAUGGAUAAGAGCUUGAGGAAUGUGGCAUCUUCGGGUGUGUUAUAGCCUCUUGUUGUAUACAUUGGUUGGGACUGAGGAACUCAGCACGCCGCAAGGCCGGGUUUUUUAAACUACGUACGUGCUUAGGAUG
rnacentral:rRNA from 1 species